GAGUUUGAUCAUGGCUCAGGAUGAAUGCUGGCGGCGUGCCUAACACAUGCAAGUCGAGCGGCAGCGAGGGGUGCUUGCACCCUGUCGGCGAGCGGCGAACGGCUGAGUAACGCGUAGGAAUUUGCCCCAAAGUGAGGGAUAACUGCCCGAAAGGGUAGCUAAUACCGCAUAUGGUCUUCGGAUUAAAGGAUUUAUCCGCUUUGGGAGAAGCCUGCGUUGGAUUAGGUUGUUGGUAGGGUAAUGGCCUACCAAGCCGACGAUCCAUAGCUGGUCUGAGAGGAUGAUCAGCCAGACUGGAACUGAGACACGGUCCAGACUCCUACGGGAGGCAGCAGUGAGGAAUCUUCCACAAUGGGCGAAAGCCUGAUGGAGCAACGCCGCGUGAAGGAUGAAGGCCUUCGGGUUGUAAACUUCUUUUAUGAGUGAAGAAUGUGACGGUAACUCAUGAAUAAGCACCGGCUAACUACGUGCCAGCAGCCGCGGUCAUACGUAGGGUGCAAGCAUUAUCCGGAGUGACUGGGCGUAAAGAGUUGCGUAGGCGGUUUAAUAAGUGAAUAGUGAAACCUGGUGGCUCAACCAUACAGACUAUUAUUCAAACUGUUAAACUCGAGAAUGGUAGAGGUAACUGGAAUUUCUUGUGUAGGAGUGAAAUCCGUAGAUAUAAGAAGGAACACCGAUGGCGUAGGCAGGUUACUGGGCCAUUUCUGACGCUAAGGCACGAAAGCGUGGGGAGCGAACCGGAUUAGAUACCCGGGUAGUCCACGCCGUAAACGAUGGAUACUAGCUGUUGGAGGUAUCGACCCCUUCAGUAGCGAAGCUAACGCGUUAAGUAUCCCGCCUGUGGAGUACGGCCGCAAGGCUAAAACAUAAAGGAAUUGACGGGGACCCGCACAAGCGGUGGAUUAUGUUCUUUAAUUCGAUGAUAACCGAAGAACCUUACCAGGGCUUGACAUCCAGGGAAGGUCUGCGAAAGCAGACUGUGCCUUUUGGAACCCUGUGACAGGUGAUGCAUGGCCGUCGUCAGCUCGUGUCGUGAGAUGUUAGGUUAAGUCCUUCAACGAGCGCAACCCUUGUGAAUAGUUGUAUUUUUCUAUUCAGACUGCCCCGGUAACGGGGAGGAAGGAGGGGAUGAUGUCAGGUCAGUAUUUCCCUUACGUCCUGGGCUAGAAACGUAAUACAAUGGCUAGUACAAUGCGCAGCGAAAGCCGCGAGGUGAAAGCAAAUCGCAUCAAAGCUAGUCCCAGUUCGGAUUGCAGGCUGAAAACUCGCCUGCAUGAAGUUCGGAAAUCGCUAGUAAUCGCAAAAUCAGCAAAGUUGCGGUAAAUACGUUUCCCGGGUUCUUGUAACACCGCCC
rnacentral:rRNA from 1 species